GCACAACGCGAAGAACCUUACCAGGGCUUAAAUGGGAGAUGAAUAAUUUGGAAACAGAUUAGCCUUCGGGCAUCUUUCAAGGUGCUGCAUGGCUGUCGUCAGCUCGUGCCGUGAGGUGUUGGGUUAAGUCCCGCAACGAGCGCAACCCUCGUUCUAUGUUGCCAGCGCGUAAUGGCGGGGACUCAUAGGAGACUGCCGGGGUCAACUCGGAGGAAGGUGGGGAUGACGUCAAAUCAUCAUGCCCCUUAUGUCUUGGGCUUCACGCAUGCUACAAUGGCCGGUACAAAGGGCUGCAAUACCGCAAGGUGGAGCGAAUCCCAAAAAGCCGGUCCCAGUUCGGAUUGAGGUCUGCAACUCGACCUCAUGAAGUCGGAGUCGCUAGUAAUCGCAGAUCAGCAACGCUGCGGUGAAUACGUUCCCGGGUCUUGUACACACCG
rnacentral:rRNA from 1 species